rnacentral:rRNA from 1 species
GACGAACGCUGGCGGCGUGCUUAACACAUGCAAGUCGAACGAGUGGCGAACGGGGGAGUAACACGUGGGUGACCUGCCCUGCACUUCGGGAUAAGCAUGGGAAACUGGGUCUAAUACCGGAUAGUGUGGGAUGGGUCCGCGGCAUAUCAGCUUGUUGGUGGGGGAAAGGCUACAAAGGCGCGACGGGUAGCCGGCCUGAGAGGGUGGGCGGCCACACUGGGACUGAGACACGGCCCAGACUCCUACGGGAGGCAGCAGUGGGGAAUAUUGGACAAUGGGCGAAAGCCUGAUCCAGCCAUGCCGCGUGUGUGAAGAAGGUCUUCGGAUUGUAAAGCACUUUAAGUUGGGAGGCGUUACCAACAGAAUAAGCACCGGCUAACUUCGUGCCAGCAGCCGCGGUAAUAC